rnacentral:rRNA from 1 species
UUAAUCCUACGGGAGGCAGCAGUCGGGAAUAUUGCGCAAUGGAGGAAACUCUGACGCAGUGACGCCGCGUAUGGGAAGAAGGUUUUCGGAUUGUAAACCAUUGUCGUUAGGGAAGAAGAAGUGACAGUACCUAAGGAGGAAGCUCCGGCUAACUAUGUGCCAGCAGCCGCGGUAAUACAUAGGGAGCGAGCGUUAUCCGGAUUUACUGGGUGUAAAGGGUGCGUAGGCGGCCUGCUAAGUCUGGAGUGAAAGGUACCGGCUCAACCGGUACAGGCUCUGGAAACUGGCGGGCUAGAGCGCAGGAG